rfam:Stegodyphus mimosarum contig26681, whole genome shotgun sequence.
GUCUUCGUGGUGUAGUGGUCAGCACGCUCGGCGCGUAUUCGAGAAGUCCGUGGUUCGAGUCCCGGCGAGGGCA